CUUACCUCUAGUAAAUAUUGUAGCCACUAGUAGUCAUCAAAAUAUAAUAGAAGAGAGUAAUAAAUAUUCUUUUCUCCCCAAUGUUUUAUAACAGAAGACUUAAUUGUGUAUUCAAAAUGGAGUUUUCCUAAGACUAAAGGGCUUCUUUAGAACAUUCUUCAUUUAUUCUGAAAUGACAUUUGGAUUUUAUUGUAAGGUAUUCUCUCGUUCACUCUCUCUUGCACAGUUUUGCUGGCUCAUGCUUUUCAUUCAAGGUGAUCUGUGGCUCAGUGUUUGCCUGAUGAUAAACCUGUAAUCAUUGCAUGUGGAGUAAAUCAGCCAAGUAAACUUUAGUUUAGCUUUGGCAGCAGAUGUGUGCAAACUAUUCUUGAGCAUAAAAUCCAUGAUGUUUCAAAAAUUCAUCCAGAAUAACAACCAGAAUAUCCAUAACCGCGUAACAAUAUGUAUUUCAUGUGUUUCCGAGAGCUCACUUUGACACUCACAACUUUAUCCCAACCAAACCAAAGUGAAAACUGUCAAAAACUUUCCUGCUUUUUCCAGCUCUCUAUCAGAAACUAUGACUUAGAUUGCUGUUUGAGGCAACCUGCCCAUCACAAUUCGACAAAACACAUUUGUGCUUAACCAUAAUCUCACCCUUCACAUCAGGAAAAGUUCCUGGCGCAGGGGAAGUGACUUGAACAUUUGUUGACCUUGUGGUGUUGUUUCUUUCUGCUUCCCACAGUGGCCAGAUAAUUCUCUCCAUGGCUAUGACAAGGGGGAAAUUGCAAAAGUCUUUCAAUAACACCACCAGCGAUGUGCUUAUGUGUGAUAAGAUGCUUCUCAUUUUGAUAUUUUCGUCAUCUGUGGGGCCCUGCUGCAUAUAUUCACUGACUUUAUAAUUUUGCCCAAGCUUUCUUGCAAAAAAGUAACAGAGGAGAUUUACUCUGGUAUGGGUACCCAAAUGCUUGCUCGAAAGGUUUGAGGUUUAUUAAGUAAACAGGUGCAUCUGUGUCCCGGACGAGCCCCCAGUUCGAGACUUGAUUUUAAGCCCAAUCCU
ensembl:lncRNA